rnacentral:rRNA from 1 species
GACGAACCGUCCAAACGUUAUCCGGAAUCACUGGGUUUAAAGGGUGCGUAGGCGGCUCGGUAAGUCAGUUGUGAAAGCCCCUUGCUUAACGAGGGAGGUGCGAUUGAUACUGUCGAGCUUGAAUCGGGAUGAGGCAGGCGGAAUGUGGCAUGUAGCGGUGAAAUGCAUAGAUAUGCCAUAGAACACCGAUUGCGAAGGCAGCCUGCUGGGCCUGUAUUGACGCUGAGGCACGAAAGCGUGGGGAGCAAACAGG